rnacentral:rRNA from 1 species
UACGAAGGGGGCUAGCGUUGUUCGGAUUUACUGGGCGUAAAGGGCGCGUAGGCGGUUUAGUAAGUUGGAAGUGAAAGCCCGGGGCUUAACCCCGGAAUUGCUUUCAAAACUGCUAGACUAGAGUGUAGUAGGGGAUGAUGGAAUUCCUAGUGUAGAGGUGGAAUUCUUAGAUAUUAGGAGGAACACCGGUGGCGAAGGCGGUCAUCUGGGCUACAACUGACGCUGAGGCGCGAAAGCGUGGGGAGCAAACGGG